CUCCUUAUAGAUGCUGUCUGGCCUGCUGCGUUCCACCAGCAUCUUGUGUGUGUUGCUUGAAUUUCCAGCAUCUGCAGAUUUCCUCGUGUUUACUGCUGAAUAUUUUCUGCUUUUGUUUUAGAUCUAAUUGAGCAGUAGAAUAGAUUCCAGGGUCUGAAUGACUUAUCCUUCGUUCCAUGUUAACGACCUGAUAGCUAACCUGUCAUGAAUACUUCAUGGAGAGAAUUACGUAGUUUUAUUUUGAGAAGCUAUAAAUGUAAUUAAAGAAACACAAAUGUUGAGAAACAUUAUGCAUGUCUUGAAAGUAAUUCUGUUAAAAUUAUCUAGAACUAUACAGAAAAUGGCAUGGAAUAAACUGUCAGUAAAUGGAAAGAAUAGCAUUGAUUAUCGAUUGCUAGAAUUUAACAUCAGCAUGUGUUUAAAUACUGGUGCUUAAUGUUUCAGAAACAGAAUAGGGUUUAAUAUCAUUGGUAUAUGAAGUGAAAUUUGUUGUUUUGUGGCAGCAGUUGAAUGCAAACAAUAAAAAAACCGUAAAUUACAGUAAGGAAUAUAUAGAGUAUGUAUGUAAAUUAAAUAACUGGUCCAAAAAGAGAGGCAAAGAAUAAACACAAGAGAUUCUUCAGAUGCUGAAAGUAACACACACAAAAUGCUGGAGGAACUCAGCAGGUCAGGCAGUAUCUACGGAAAUGAAUAAACAGUUGCCAUAUCGAGCUGAGACCCUUCUUCAGGGCUGGAAAGGAAGGGGGAAGAACCCAGAGUAAAAUGAUGGGUGGAGGGGAAGGAGAAUAGCUAGAGGGUGAUAGGUGAAGCCAAGUGGCUAGGAAAGGUAAAGGGCUGUAGAGGAAGAAGUCUGAUAGGAGAGAAGAGUGGACAAUGUGAGAAAGGAAAAAAGGAGGGGCACCAGCAGGAGGUGAUAGGCAGGUAAGGGGAUGAGGUAAGAGGCCAGAGUUGAGAAUAGAAGAAGAGGGAAGGGUUGGAAAUCAAUGUUCUUGCCAUCAAGUUGGAGGCUACCCAGAUGGAAUAUGAGGUGUUGCUCCUCCACUCUGAGAGUAGCCUCAUCAUUGGCAAAAGAGGAAACCAUGAACCACUAUGUUGGAAUGGGAAUGGGGAUAGGAAUUAAAAUGGUUGGCCACCGUGAAACUCUACUCUUGGCAGAUGAAGCGGAGGUGCUGCAUCCACCAAGGGAAAAGAUAGUGAGGUAGUGUACACAGGUUCUUUGGCCUCUCAGAAAUCUGAUGCCAGAGGGGAAUAAGCUGAUCCUAAAAUGCUGAGUGUGUGUCUUUGCACUCCUGUACCUCCUCCUUCAUGGUAGCAAUGAGAAAAGAGCAGGUCCUAAGUGAUGGGGAUUCUAAAUGAUGGAUUCUGCCUUUUUGAGGCAUUGCCUUUUGAAGAUGUCCUUGAUGCCAGGGAGGCUAGUACCCAUUUUUUUUCUGAUCCUCCAUCCUCUGAUGCCACCAGUGAGAAUGCUCUCCACAGUGUAUCUGCAGAAAUUUGCUAGAGUCUUUGAUGCAAUCAUGUGGCACACAAUGAUACCACGUGGUUUUUUUGAAGUAUUUUGCUGCAUGGUGAGUUCCUAGUCUCGGCCAUGCUGUCUACGAUUGUGUGGGAAACUUGGGGAAGAAAAAUGAUUUGCUUGAUCCUCCAUGUGAUUCACAGCAGAUAGCGAAAUGUUGACUGGAAGCUGUGGAUGAGCAAAGUGGUGGAAAGUAGGAGCAAAGGCUAACGGAAUGCAGAGGCACAAAAUGAAAUAGCAAUAAUUUCCUGGGCAUCAGCUGUCUGGAAAAGUAACAAAACAGUUCACUUUCUCUUUUGAUCAGAGCAGUGACUUCAUUUAAAAAUACAAAUCAACAUUCUCCAGCUGAUUGUCUGAGAAGAACGAUAUAUGCAUUGCUGAGAAUAUGACUGACACGUUGGAAUAAUUCUGAUUAUUAUAGAAUAAAUUAUUUUCUUUUCUUUCUUCUAUCUCUUUCUCUCUCCCUCUCUUAUUCUCUUUAUCACUUUCUCUCUUAACCAUAUAGCCAUAUAACAAUUACAGCACGGAAACAGGCCAUCUCGGCCCUUCUAGUCCGUGCCGAACGCUUACUCUCACCUAGUCCCACUGACCUGCACUCAGCCCAUAACCCUUCAUUCCUUUCCUGUCCAUAUACCUACUCAAUUUUAUUUUUAAAUGACAAUAUCGAACUUGCCUCUACCACUUUUACUGGAAGCUCGUUCCACACAGCUGCCACUCUCUGAGUAAAGAAGUUCCCCCCGUGUUACCCCUAAACUUUUGCCCCUUAACUCAACUCAUGUCCUCUUGUUUGAAUCUCCCCUACUCUCAAUGGAAAAAGCCUAUCAACGUCAACUCUGUCUAUCCCCCUCAUAAUUUUAAAUAUCUCUAUCAAGUCCCCCCUCAACCUUCUACGCUCCAAAGAAUAAAGACCUAACUUAAGGUCUUAAAGACUCUUUCUCACUUUCUCCUCACUCUCUUUCUCUCUUUCUCUUUCUCUCCCUCAUUUUUUCCUCUCUUACCCUCUCUUCUCUCUUUCUUUCUCUCUCAACCUCUCUCUCUCUCUCGUUCUUUCUCUUUUCCCCUCUCUCUGUUUCUCCCUCUUUCUUUUAUGUCUUCUCAAUUGCCUCCCUGGGUUACUUGAAGCUCAGAAAUAAAAAGACAGAAGGGAGGCACUUAUUUCUCUUUUAGAAGAAAUUCCUGGUUAUGACUUGUGAUCUGCUUCCAUAGGAUGGAUCUUGAUGAAUACUAUCAUAGUUCAAGUGAAAAAGGAGAUGAUUAAGUUUCAGGAAUUAUAACAGCACUAGCAUCUUACUUUUGCAUAGCAUCUUUAGCGAUGAAAAUGUCCUGAAAAGUACACAUAAGCUACAGAGAAGUGAACAAAGCUUGAUUUUAAUGUGGGUCUUAAAUGGGGAGGAUAAAGAGGUAACAGCAACACAUGCAAAAUACUAGAGGAACUCAUCAGGUUAGUCAGCAUCUCUGGUUGGGAAUCAGCAGUCGACGUUUUGGGCUGAGACCUUUCAUCAGGACUGGAAAGGAAGGGGGAAGAAACCAAAAUAAGAAAGUGGGGGGGAGGGAAAGAUCACAGAGGGAGAGCAGUGAGAAAGGGUUUCACUGCCCUCCUGUCAAAGAGAAGAUUUAAAUGUCUUCAGGGUAGGCGUAACUUUAAAGAGACUUUGCAGUGGAGCAGCAAAUCACUGCCACAAGAUGCACCAGACAUGGAACACUAAAGCGCUUUUGGAGGACUGUGACAUUAUUAGAACUGUUGAAAAUUUUCUGUGCUGGAAAUAAAAGAGCUUCCUAGAUUAAACUCAUUUCUUAGAAUCAUCUGUAGCUCUGGAACUCACAAAUCUUCAAGUAAUUCCUCAGGUCCUAAAUGUGAUUGUAGUUCCCGCAUGUACCAUCUUUUCAGGUAAUGAGCUCCAAACUUCAAAGUUCAAAGUUCAAGGUAACAUUAUUAUCAAAGUACGUAUAUGUCAUCAUAUACAGCUCUGAGAUUUAUUUUCGUGCAGACAUUCACAGUAGAACAAAGAAUUACGAAAACAUCAAUGAAAACUAUGCACAGAAAAAACAAAUAACCAAUGAGCAAAAGAAGACAAGCUGCAAAUGCAUAAAAAUAAUAUUAGAAUAAAGAGUUACGAUAGGAUUAAUGAAAAACUGCAUGCAAGCAAUGACUAAUACUGCACUCAUCCUUUGGAGCAUAAAAAUAUCCUCAGCUCCUGUCCAUUUUUCAGGAUAAAGGUUGGGCAUGCUACAUGGGUGCCAGAAGCAUGGUGACUGUUGUGGAUUGCCUCCAUCACUAACUUGGACUGUGUUGGUCAUUGAUGCAUAUAACGCAUAUUCCUGUAUGUUUUGAGGUUUCGAUAUACAUCUGAGAAAUAAACCCAACGAAGGGUCUCGGACCGAAAUGUUGACAGUGCUUCUCCCUAUAGAUGCUGCCUGGCCUGCAGUGUUCCACCAGCAUUUUGUGUGCGUUGUUCUGAGAAAUAAAACUAUUUUCUUCUCUUAUCUGUACACAGCACCUUAGCAUUGUCAAUAACGCUUCCCAACCGUUCAACAAUCUCUCUGUGGCAGGAGGUACCGUAGCAUUAGGACAAGGGCUGUUAGGAUGGGAAAUAGCUUCUUCCCUCAGGCUGUGAGACAACUGAAUCCCUGCCACCACCCAGGUCUUAUCACGAAUGAAGCCUCAGUAGUGCUAUACUGUUUACUUUUUAACUUGAGUCGUACAUACAUCUUAUUAUUUAUUAAGUUCUUUGUGGUAAUAUUACUUAAUGUGUUGUGUGUGAGUUUUAUGUACUGUGUUGUGCACCUCGGACUGGAGAAAUGUUGUUUCGUUUGGCAGCAGACACACUGAGGACCGAAUGUCUCGGAGCCCAGAGCUAACAAAGCAAGAAGAUCAAGGUUUAAGGUGCGAGGGAAAUUCUUUGGUCUUACUGAGAGAAAGGAGACAAGGUUUGAAAGGAACAUCAUCUCAAUUUUCAAAGCUUUUGCCAUUCACCAUCUCUGAAGACAUAAUGAGAUUAGACCUAAAGAUCAAAGAUGAUCAGUUUUGGAAAAAUGAACAAUGAAAUUUAACCCAGACAAAUCAGUAGAAAAGAUGACGGAACCAGUGAAGAUGGUGAUCAAUACUGACUGCUUCUAGUGUAUGAGCAAAGCCUUCAGAUGUCAGAGGAAAAGAAAGACAAAGACCUUAAACCUGAUGCCACUAUUGUGGUCAACUGGAGCGUGCAAUGCUAGUGCUUGCAGUGGUGGGCAGUGACUGAGCAGCCAUUAGAAAUCUUGUUAGAGAUCACUCAUACCAGUGUGGCAAUGCACAGCAGGACCAUGCUUAUCUGGUGUUUUUCUUGUGCUGCAUUGGAUCUGGAGUAACAACUAGUUUGUAAUCCUUUACACUUGUGCACUGCAAAUGACAUUAAACAAUUUUGAAUCUAC